rnacentral:rRNA from 1 species
UAUGGGAUAACUACUCCAAUUAUUAGCUCAUACCGCAUGAGAUCUACAGAUCAAAGCAGGGGACCUUCGGGCCUUAUGCUACUAGAGCGUCUGAUGGCAGAUUAGGUAGUUGGUGGGGUAAAGGCUUACCAAGCCUGCGAUCUGUAGCUGGUCUGAGAGGACGACCAGCCACACUGGGACUGAGACACGGCCCAGACUCCUACGGGAGGCAGCAGUGGGCAAUUUUGGACAAUGGGCGAAAGCCUGAUCCACCGAUGCCGCGUGCAAGAUGAAGGCCCUCGGGAUGUAAACUGCUUUUGUACGGAACGAACAGCCUGAUCAUAAUAUCCCCGGGUCAUGACUGUACCGUAAGAAUAAGCACCGGCUAACUACGUGCCAGCAGCCGCACUAAUACGUAAGGUGCAAGCGUUAAUCGGAAUUACUGAACGUAAAGCGUGCGCGGGCGGUUUUGUAAGACAGAGGUGAAAUCCCCGAGCUCACCUGGCAACUGCCAUUGUGACUGCAGAGCUAGAGUGCGGCAGAUGGAAUGGAAUUCCGCGUGUACAGUGAAAUGCAUACAUAUGCAGACCAACACCGAUGGCGAUCGCAAUCCCCUGGGCUGCACUGACGCUCAUGCACGAAAGCGUGAGACGCAACAGAUUAGAUACCCUGUAGUCCCGCCCUAACGAUGUCACUGGUGUUGGUCUUACUGACUCGUAACGAAGCUACGCGUGAACUCACGCCUGUCAAGUCCGGCGCAAGUUGAAAUCAAUGAAUGACGGGACCGCACAGCAGUGGUGAUGUGGUUAAUUCAUGCACGCGCAAACCUUCCCACCUUGACUGGCAGAACUACCUAGUGAUUUGUGCCGAAGAAAACUA